AACCAGCUCAAUGGACGGCAUUCUAAUUGAGCUAGGAUGUCGUACUGAUCUCCAAUCUCCAGGGAGAAUUAAGUUUGGGUCUUCUUCAGGAGACAUGUGCAAGAAGCAAAGGACAUGCUUGGCUGUUUGCCAAAGUUGAAAUAAGUUGAAAUAACUUCCAUUUCUUAUGAUGAUUGCUACUCCAUGUAUAUUUUCCUGGUAAUGGACUUCUUUAUAGUCCAGAUUUAAGUGCCACGUAAGAAUUUUAUUCUCCCUGUGGAGAUUUUAAGAUGCGCCAACUUUUUCUCAA